GGUUGAUCCUGCCGGACCUGACUGCUAUCGGAUUGAUACUAAGCCAUGCGAGUCAUUGUAGCAAUACAAGGCAGACGGCUCAGUAACGCGUAGUCAACCUACCCUAUGGACGGGAAUAACCUCGGGAAACUGAGUAUAAUGCCCGAUAGAACACUAUACCUGGAAUGGUUUGUGUUUCAAAUGAUUUAUUGCCAUAGGAUGGGACUGCGGCCUAUCAGUUUGUUGGUGAGGUAAUGGCCCACCAAGACUAUUACAGGUACGGGCUCUGAGAGGAGUGGCCCGGAGAUGGGUACUGAGACACGGACCCAGGCCCUAUGGGGCGCAGCAGGCGAGAAAACUUUGCAAUGUGCGAAAGCACGACAAGGUUAAUCCGAGUGGUUUCUGCUAAAGGAACCUUUUGACAGUCCUAGAAACACUGUUGAAUAAGGGGUGGGCAAGUUCUGGUGUCAGCCGCCGCGGUAAAACCAGCACCUCAAGUGGUCAGGAUGAUUAUUGGGCCUAAAGCAUCCGUAGCCGGCUCAGUAAGUUUUCGGUUAAAUCUGUACGCUUAACGUACAGGCUGCCGGGAAUACUGCAGAGCUAGGGAGUGGG
rnacentral:rRNA from 1 species